rnacentral:rRNA from 1 species
AUUGAACGCUGGCGGUAGGCCUAACACAUGCAAGUCGAACGCGAAAGUCCUUCGGGAUGAGUAGAGUGGCGGACGGGUGAGUAACGCGUAGGAAUCUAUCCUGUAGUGGGGGAUAACGUUUCGAAAGGAACGCUAAUACCGCAUACGCCCCAAGGGGGAAAGCGGGGGAUCUUCGGACCUCGUGCUAUAGGAGGAGCCUGCGGCGGAUUAGCUAGUUGGUGAGGUAAAGGCUCACCAAGGCGACGAUCCGUGGCUGGUCUGAGAGGAUGAUCAGCCACACCGGAACUGAGACACGGUCCGGACUCCUACGGGAGGCAGCAAUGGGGAAUAUUGCGCAAUGGGCGAAAGCCUGACGCAGCCAUACCGCGUGUGUGAAGAAGGCCUUCGGGUUGUAAAGCACUUUCAGUGGGGAGGAAAAGCUGGUGGCUAAUAUCCAUCGGCCGUGACGCUACCCACAGAAGAAGCACCGGCUAAUUCCGUGCCAGCCGCCGCAGUAAAAC